rnacentral:rRNA from 1 species
ACAUGCAAGUCGAGGGUAGGCAGGGUAGCAUACCGCUGAGACCGGCGCACGGGUGAGUAACACGUAUCCAACCUUCCCAUAACUCAGGGAUAGCCUUUCGAAAGAAAGAUUAAUACCUGAUAGUACUUUUUCUAAGGCAUCUUGAGAAGUUAAAGAUUUAUUGGUUAUGGAUGGGGAUGCGUUCCAUUAGAUAGUUGGUGAGGUAACGGCUCACCAAGUCUUCGAUGGAUAGGGGUUCUGAGAGGAAGGUCCCCCACAUUGGUACUGAGACACGGACCAAACUCCUACGGGAGGCAGCAGUGAGGAAUAUUGGUCAAUGGGCGAGAGCCUGAACCAGCCAAGUAGCGUGAAGGAUGAAGGUCCUAUGGAUUGUAAACUUCUUUUAUAGUAGAAUAAAGUGAUCCACGUGUGGAUUUUUGUAUGUAUACUAUGAAUAAGGAUCGGCUAACUCCGUGCCAGCCGCUGC